rnacentral:rRNA from 1 species
CCCUUAGAUGUUCUGGGCCGCACGCGCGCUACACUGACGGAGUCAACGAGUUGUCCUGCAUCGGAAGGUGUGGGUAAUCUUUUGAAACUUCGUCGUGCUGGGGAUAGAUCUUUGCAAUUUUCGAUCUUGAACGAGGAAUUCCUAGUAAGCGUGAUUCAUCAGAUCGCGUUGAUUACGUCCCUGCCCUUUGUACACACCGCCCGUCGCUACUACCGAUUGAAUGGUUUAGUGAGGCCUCGGGACUGGCGCGCUCGAGUAGCAAUACACCUGCGCGCCGGGAACUUGGUCAAACUUGNUNAUUUAANGGAAGUAAAANUCGUANCA